CUGGCGGCAUGCCUUACACAUGCAAGUCGAACGGCAGCACGGGAGCAAUCCUGGUGGCGAGUGGCGAACGGGUGAGUAAUAUAUCGGAACGUGCCCAGUCGUGGGGGAUAACGUAGCGAAAGCUACGCUAAUACCGCAUACGAUCUAUGGAUGAAAGCGGGGGAUCGCAAGACCUCGCGCGAUUGGAGCGGCCGAUAUCAGAUUAGGUAGUUGGUGAGGUAAAGGCUCACCAAGCCGACGAUCUGUAGCUGGUCUGAGAGGACGACCAGCCACACUGGGACUGAGACACGGCCCAGACUCCUACGGGAGGCAGCAGUGGGGAAUUUUGGACAAUGGGCGCAAGCCUGAUCCAGCAAUGCCGCGUGCAGGAUGAAGGCCUUCGGGUUGUAAACUGCUUUGUACGGAACGAAACGGUGAGCUCUAAUACAGUUUGCUAAUGACGGUACCGUAAGAAUAAGCACCGGCUAACUACGUG
rnacentral:rRNA from 1 species